rnacentral:tRNA from 1 species
GUGGAUAUAGCUCAAUGGUAGAGUGCACUCUUAGCGUGCAUAAGGUCCUGGGUUCAAUUCCCAGUACCUUUG